GGUACCGUCAGCGCCAUGUCCUUAUCUUACAUGGCGGGUUCUUCCCACCUGACAGAGCUUUACGACCCAAGGCCUUCAUCACUCACGCGGCGUUGCUGCGUCAGGGUUUCCCCCAUUGCGCAAAAAUUCCUCA
rnacentral:rRNA from 1 species